CCUACGGGAGGCAGCAGUGAGGAAUAUUGGUCAAUGGGCGGAAGCCUGAACCAGCCAAGUAGCGUGCGGGAUGAAGGCCCUACGGGUCGUAAACCGCUUUUGCACGGGGAUAACACCCUCCACUUGUGGAGGUCUGCAGGUACCGUGCGAAUAAGGGCCGGCUAAUUCCGUGCCAGCAGCCGCGGUAAUACGGAAGGCCCGAGCGUUAUCCGGAUUCAUUGGGCUUAAAGGGAGCGUAGGCGGGCGUUCAAGUCAGCUGUAAAAGCGCGCGGCUCAACCGCGCCCCGCAGUUGAAACUGGACGCCUUGAGUUCACAACAGGCAGGCGGAAUUCGUGGUGUAGCGGUGAAAUGCAUAGAUAGCACGAGGAACCCCGAGUGCGAAGGCAGCCUGCCGGGGUGCGACUGACGCUGAGGCUCGAAGGUGCGGGUAUCAAACAGGAUUAGAUACCCCAGUAGUC
rnacentral:rRNA from 1 species